GCGCCAUUAGCUCAGAUGGAUAGAGCAGAGGACUUCUAAUCCUAAGGUCGGCGGUUCGAAUCCGUCAUGGCGCACCA
rnacentral:tRNA from 1 species